GAUGAACGCUGGCGGCGUGCCUAAUACAUGCAAGUCGAGCGAACAGACGAGGAGCUUGCUCCUCUGACGUUAGCGGCGGACGGGUGAGUAACACGUGGAUAACCGACCUAUAAGACUGGGAUAACUUCGGGAAACCUGAUCUAAUACCGGAUAAUAUAUUGAACCGCAUGGUUCAAUAGUGAAAGCCGGUUUUGCUGUCACUUAUAGAUGGUUCCGCGCCGCAUUAGCUAGUUGGUAAGGUAACGGCUUACCAAGGCAACGAUGCGUAGCCGACCUGAGAGGAUGAUCAGCCGCACUGGAACUGAGACACGGUCCAGACUCCUACGGGAGGCAGCAGUGGGGAAUCUUCCGCAAUGGGCGAAAGCCUGACGGAGCAACGCCGCGUGAGUGAUGAAGGUCUUCGGAUCGUAAAACUCUGUUAUUAGGGAAGAACAACUGUGUAAGUAACUAUGCACGUCUUGACGGUACCUAAUCAGAAAGCCACGGCUAACUACGUG
rnacentral:rRNA from 1 species